UGAGUGCUUCUUCUGUCAUAUCCCGUGGU
rnacentral:piRNA from 1 species